AUACUUACCUGGCAGGGGAGAUACCAUGAUCACGAAGGUGGUUUUCCCAGGGCGAGGCUUAUCCAUUGCACUCCGGAUGUGCUGACUCCUGCGAUUUCCCCAAAUGUGGGAAACUCGACUGCAUAAUUUGUGGUAGUGGGGGACUGCGUUCGCGCUUUCCCCUC
rnacentral:snRNA from 1 species